rnacentral:rRNA from 1 species
UAGUAUAGCAUUAUACCGUGAAACUGCGAAUGGCUCAUUAAAUCAGUUAUCGUUUAUUUGAUAAUACCUUACUACUUGGAUAACCGUGGUAAUUCUAGAGCUAAUACAUGCUGAAAAUCCCGACUUCGGAAGGGAUGUGUUUAUUAGAUAAAAAACCAAUGCCCUUCGGGGCUUUUUGGUGAUUCAUGAUAACUUUACGGAUCGCAUAGCCUUGCGCUGGCGACGGUUCAUUCAAAUUUCUGCCCUAUCAACUUUCGAUGGUAAGGUAUUGGCUUACCAUGGUUUCAACGGGUAACGGGGAAUUAGGGUUCGAUUCCGGAGAGGGAGCCUGAGAAACGGCUACCACAUCCAAGGAAGGCAGCAGGCGCGCAAAUUACCCAAUCCCGACACGGGGAGGUAGUGACAAUAAAUACUGAUACAGGGCUCUUUUGGGUCUUGUAAUUGGAAUGAGUACAAUUUAAACCUCUUAACGAGGAACAAUUGGAGGGCAAGUCUGGUGCCAGCAGCCGCGGUAAUUCCAGCUCCAAUAGCGUAUAUUAAAGUUGUUGCAGUUAAAAAGCUCGUAGUUGAAACUUGGGCCUGGCUGGCGGGUCCGCCUCACCGCGUGCACUCGUCCGGCCGGGCCUUCCUUCUGAAGAACCUCAUGCCCUUCACUGGGCGUGCUGGGGAAUCAGGACUUUUACUUUGAAAAAAUUAGAGUGUUCAAAGCAGGCCUUUGCUCGAAUACGUUAGCAUGGAAUAAUAAAAUAGGGCGUGCGUUUCUAUUUUGUUGGUUUCUAGAGACGCCGCAAUGAUUAACAGGAACAGUCGGGGGCAUCAGUAUUCAGUUGUCAGAGGUGAAAUUCUUGGAUUUACUGAAGACUAACUACUGCGAAAGCAUUUGCCAAGGAUGUUUUCAUUAAUCAGUGAACGAAAGUUAGGGGAUCGAAGACGAUCAGAUACCGUCGUAGUCUUAACCGUAAACUAUGCCGACUAGGGAUCGGGCGAUGUUCUUUUUCUGACUCGCUCGGCACCUUACGAGAAAUCAAAGUUUUUG